CCAAGAUCAAGGAACCUGAGGAGCUGGUGCCAGGGGAGGACCACUUCCAGGUUCACACAUGGAGGUCUUCUUUUGUGUCCUCUCACAUAGUGGCAAAAUGAGGGAGCUUGCUGGGCCUCUUUUAUAAGGGCACCAACCCCAUUCACGAGGGCUCCACCUUCAUGGCUUAAUCACCCUCUAAAGGCCCCACUUCCAAUGCCAUCAUAGUGAAGGUUAGGAUUUCAACAUACAAAUUGGGGGUGCAGGAACAAACACUGAGACCACAGAAGAACGUACAGUUUUUUAAAAGCUUGUGGGUCUGGAAAUGACUUUAUUACACUUCCAAGGGUCUACCUAAAUAUAGAAUUCUAGGUCAAAAAAAUUUUCCCUUCCAAGUUUUAAAGGGAAGACCAGUAUCAUCUCAUUCCCAGUGUUGCUGUUGAGGAGUCCAAAGUCACUCUGAGGAGUCCUUGUCGGUGACCAUUUAUCUCCUAUUUGUUCCUUGUGUUCUAAAACAUCACGUGGUGCCUCAGGGCUCUUGUCGUUGAGAGCUGACUUCAGCCAGUAACUCAUGCCCUUCCCCAGAAUACUCUUACAGUCACCAUCUCUGCCGUGGAGUUCUGUUUCUCUGGCCUCUCUAGAAUGCCUGUUAGAAGUUGAAGCCCUGGAUUGACCUGUGCAUUUGUCCUUCCUUUUGUCUAUCAUGUUGUCUACUAAUUGUGAAACUUAUUCCAUUUUAUCUCCCAACCUAUCACUAAGAUUUUUCAUUUCUCCCAACAUAAUUUCCCAGAGCCCUUUGAUUUGAAUAUAGAAGUAUUUUAUAACACGGUUUUAAAAAUUAAAGGCUAUCCUACCAUCACAUUUGGCUUUUAUCUCACGCACUUUUUCCGUUCUGGGGCACCACAUGCCUGUCUCCUUGGGCUCCUCUCGGCUGUGAGUUUCUCACCUUCCCUGCUUUGCUUGACCUUGACAGUGCUAGGAGUACUGGCGGUAUUUUGUGCAGUGUCCCUCGGCUGGGUUUGUGUGAUGCUUUUCUCGAGGUUAGAAUGGGUUUUUAGGAGGAAGACCACAAGAAAAGAGCCAUUGUCAUCACUUUAACCCCAGGAUACACACUAGCAACAAGUCUGGCCACUCUGCCACCGAGCUUGAUCAUCUCUGAGGCGGUGUGCCAAGUUUCCCUAUGACACAGGGCUACUCAGACUUCCAGAAGAGAGCUUUCUGGUCCCUUGUCUGGGAGUGAAGAGUCCGGCUGCUGGCGCUCUGGAGAUGCGCGGAGGAGAGCAGAGGGCCAUUCCACACUCCACUGUACAGCCCCUGCACAACACUGCUUCUGUGAGGCACUCAUGCCUCCACUGUGCCCCAGCUGAGACACCCGCUUCUUAUGGUGGCCAAAGAAUAAUCCCCUAGACUUCUGCCUUUGCCAGCCAAUUGUCCUUCUCCUGCUGUGUCCUCCUGUGAGCCCUAGUGCCCAGACCAGCUGACU
rnacentral:lncRNA from 1 species